AUAAUGAGAAGAUACAAGCAUUGCAGAGAAUGAGUAAAAUGAAAGAUCUUGAGAUUGAGGAUUUAAAAGCUGCACUUAGAAAGAAGGCAUUGGACCAAAAUUCAGCUAGCCCCCAAGCAAUGACAGGUCAAAUUGAGUGGCACAGUAGUGAGGUUCAGCUCACUUCUCCAUCAGAACAACAGUGCUCAGAAGUCCUUGCAAAACUGCAGGAUAAGCAUCAACAGAUUUAUCUUAGAGAGUCAUCUUCUAGCAUUGCUGAGUUGCUAAUCCCACUUUUGAUGCAGAAGAAAACUGUCUGAUGUCUUUUUGUUUUUUCAACUCCACUAAAACAUGAUUUUAUUUGCUCCUUAUCAUCAGAAAUUUUGAAUAACAA